GAAUCAAGUGAUGAUGAACAAAACUGCAACAAAAUGAUGGAUUUUAUUCCAUGAUUAUUGGUAUUUAAGCCGCUGAUGAUU